CUAAGCAAAUGUCCAAUCAAGCAGAAACAUACCUAUAAAAUGGGGCAAUCGUGUCACCCACAUUCAAUGACCUGCAGAGGUAAGUGUUAAUUGCAGUAAUGCAGGUUUAUUGACCUCCCAUUAGAGUGGUUUAUUGAUUUGUCACUCUGCUGCAUUAUAUGGAUCCUGACAUAGAGACCCCUUAAAUGUCCUCUGUAAAAAG